GUCCCAGUAGUGCAAUGGAUAGCGCGUUGGACUUCUGAUCCAAAGGUCGUGGAUUCGAAUCCCCCCCUCCCUGGGAUG
rnacentral:tRNA from 1 species